GAAUAUAAAAAAAUAUAGCUAUAUUUUCAAAAUAUAUACUUGUGUAUCUUUACAUAUACAUAAUAAAUACAGUACAUGCACGUAUUGUAAACAAAAACGUUCAUGGAUGCGAUUAAUCGUUUGACGGCACUAAUUUAUACGUAUUCAUAUAUAGUGUGCUUUUAAAUCAUAGAGGUUUCAUAGUAAGAAAAGACAUCUGACCAGUAGCACCGAGUGUGAUUUUGUUGAAAAAGUUUGCCAUGUUUAUUUGCACUAAUGGUGUAUUUGAUGGAUUUCUGUCCACAGUUUGGCUUUGAGAUCAAUCGAUAGAACUACUUCAGGGGUUCAUUUAGCAUCCAGCUGACCAUAUGAGUCAGGUGGUUGCUUUUAUAAAGUACUUUUGAGGAGUUUGUGGUUGUUUCUUUUACGUGCCCAGUGGCUACUAUUCAUUCACUGUAAUCCAGGACUCCCUUUACAGGUUAGACUGAGCAAGUAUAAUUAGAGAGAUAUGCAGGAGUCUUUGCUUUCCCGUUCACUGUCGACUAGUACUUUGCCUGGUCACCUGAUACUCGUCCUCGGAAAAAAAUCAGAUGCUCAUCCAGAGCGUCAAACCACAGCUCCGAUUUAUGAAGACGUGUCAAGUGUGAAAGGAGAAGGAAGCGGAGCAAACCGUCACUGCAUGCGUCCAUCAGACCCAGAAGCAUCUGCUAUGCUGGAGAACCUCUGGAUCCCCCAAAUGACCAAAUGUGGAACAGCAUCAGGAAAAUCAGCUUAGUGCAUAAUUAAAAUAGAUCAAUUUCCAGGGACAUGAACAAAAUCUAUAAUGUAUGCAAAUGUAUAAUGAACAGCAUUCAAAACAUAUUACAAUUCCUAGUUCUUCACCAUAUUUAAAUGACCUUUUGGCCCGUCUUCCUUUUUGUUUUAAUUGUAAGUAGCAAUAAAUAUAGUCAACCCGCUC